UACAGAGGGUGCGAGCGUUAAUCGGAUUUACUGGGCGUAAAGGGCGCGUAGGCGGUUUAGCGAGUGUGAUGUGAAAGCCCCGGGCUUAACCUGGGAAGUGCAUCGCAAACGGCUAAACUGGAGUAGAUGAGAGGGUGGCGGAAUUUCCGGUGUAGCGGUGAAAUGCGUAGAUAUCGUAAGGAAGACCAGUGGCGAAGGCGAAUCUCUGGACAGUUACUGACACUGAGGCACGAAGGCCAGGGGAGCAAACGGG
rnacentral:rRNA from 1 species